CGUGUGUGUGUGAGCUCAUGUGUGUGUGUUUGUGUGUGUGUGUUUACAGUAUUCACUUGCAUAUUGUUGGCAGGUACUAAAGUUGCUAUCUUUAAAGACUGGGAGGAAACCUGAAUGAGUUUGCUGAGCAGUGUCUGCCAGGAUUAUUAUUGAUAAGGCACAUACAGAGAUAAGGAAGACAAGAUGUCUUCACUGUAACAUCUAGAGUUUUGUGUGUGAUUCUCAGAUGUCUGAGGAAGGAAUGAGACCCUACCCAAAGGUAUAAACAUUCAGGCCAUAUGCCUAGCUCAUUGUCACUUUAAUAUAAACUAUCUAUGUAUGAGAAGACUAUUAUUUCCGUUAGCAGCCUUCACAGCAAAUGUUGUUCAUUGGGCUGAGGUUUUGGCUUCUUGGUUGGCCCAGGUUUUACUCAGACUCCAGAAUGAGGGACCCCUCCCUUUCCCAUGGCAACAUAAUUUCCCUGCCUUUUCAUCCUACCUCAGCUUGACAAGAAGGGAAUCUCAAUACAGAAGGACCAUGCACAUAAUAGACAUACAGUGCUCAUUGUAUUAUAAAAUGCUGCAGCUAACUGUGCUGGAAAGCAAUCUUGCAGUUCUCAAAGAGUGGAACAUGGGAAUUAUCGCCCAAUAAUUCCACUCCUACACGUACACUCAAGAAUGAAGUAUUUGUCCAUAUAAAACCUUGUAUGAAAAUAUUAUUAGAACAGCAUGUGCAAUAUGUAUAAUAAAAUAGAAAUAAUCCAGAGGUCUAUUAACUGAUGAAUGGAUGAAGAAUAUAUAAUAUUCUUAUAAUGUCAUUCAAUACUAAAGAAAUAGAAUUUUUAAAAUAUACCAUCCGGUUAGCUGAAUCUUAAAAAUAUUAUUGUAUGUGAAAGAAGUUGCUCAAAAUAUUGUGGUAUUUGACUUCACUUAUAUAUCAUAUUAAGAGAGCACAAGGGUAUAGAAAGGAAUGUAGAUUAGUGGCCACAGUAGUCUUGGGGGUAAGGGAAGGUUGUAGGGAGUGACUGCUAAAGAUAAUGGAUUUUCUCUAGUACUAAUGAAAUUUGUGAGGGUCUAUGAAAUCACUAAAAUAAAUAUUGAAGUGUGUGCUUUGCAGAGUGAAAUAUAUGAUAUAUGAAUUCUGUCAAUACAUCUACUUUUAAAAGUCUUAAGGCAAUUGUGAAAUUAUCAAGUACAACAAAUGCAACCUUGACUGAACUUGUCUAUCCCCAUGUAGAGGAAGGUUCAUAAGAUAUUAAAACACCAUAAUAUAGAAAAAUAAAAAUAUGUGCAAAACAGAAAUAAGUUAAUUCUAUGCUUAGGAAAAAAAAACUUAUACCUUUAAGGACUUACUUUAGAAAGAAAAAUACUAACAUCUUCUGCCUCCUGAAUUUAGAAAGAAAAUAAAAAUAUCAGACAAAAGAUAAACAGAAAAUAGCAAAUUAUAAUGAGCAGAGUGACAGCCCAUGGGAAAAAAAGAGAGAAGAAGCUAAAAUUGUUAUUUGAUCAACUGAUCAAAUUUUAGUUACUCUGACAUGAAGAGAGAGACAGAGACAGAGAAAGAGUGAGCAAGAGAGAGAGAGAGAGAGAGAGAGAGAGAGAGAGAGAGAGAGAGAGAGAGAGAGAGAGAGAUUGUUGUCAAGCCAGGAAUGAUUAAGGAAGCGGGAGCAGUGACCCCCAGACUGGAGGAUAAGAUGGGUAUACUACAACUCCGUUCAUACCAACACAUAUGAAGGCAUGCCAGCACAACACACAGUUGGCAUUUCUUCACUCGCUGCCUUUGGAUUUCUAUUUUAAUUCCUAAAUUAAACAAGCAUUGUAACUUUAGUCCUCAUGAGAUGAUAAUUUGAACGUAAAGGGCUUUUUAAUUUUUAAGAAUGGUUCCUUCUCUCAGGAUCAUCUCCUCCUCUGUGGCUCCAUGUUAUAUGACAACUAAAGUCUAAGGCAUCAGAGUCAUUUAAAAAUAAGGGAUACCAGGCUGGUGGUAUCCUCUAUCAACAGGGGACUGGCCCGUCAAGCAAAAUGCCAUGGAUUCAAUGCUAGUGCAGCUUCUAAGACCUGGGCUGGACUUUGGACAAACAGGGACACUGGACAUGCCUCAUAUUGCUUAAGACAAAGCAAGGUCAGUCUCCCAAAUUCCUCCUCCACAAGAAGCUCUCUCAGAUUUGCGGGCUUGGCAACAGAAGAUUGGUCCUGCCCUGGGACCUGUGUCCCCAAGGAAUCCAUCAGCAUAACAGAAACCUAAUGCGAAAGUCUGGUAAUGGCCUAAGUGAGCACCACUGUCUACAAGCUACAUAGUAAGACACGAGAGGCACCUGGAUAUCUUAUAGGUGAGCCAACUGGCCUGACAGAUCCAUUGUCUGAUGCCAUCCCCAUCCUUCAGCCUAAAACAUCUUAUCAACCCUGAGCUAGGGACCCAUUGUGAUACCCACAUCCAGGACUCUCUCCUGAUAUAAGGGGCUUCCUUUCUUCUUCAUUUCCCACCUAUGAAAAAUAAGCUCCUACCUAUGGAGUAAUAAUAAAAGUGCUUUCCAAAAUCUCACCUUCCUCUUGGUCCAUGAAAUUUACUUCCUAAUGCAAUCUCAUCCUUCAAAUCUGUAAAACAAAAAUCCAGAGCCACUUACAAAGAGGAAGCUUUGUGAGAUCAUGAGUUUCUGGUACCUAAUUCCUGAGUUAUAUCCACCUGAAAUAAGAAAGCACCUGUUGUUCUCAGGGAUUUCUGCCCUUCUCCUGCUUCAAUACAGCUAUGGUGGGUGGGAUAGCAAGCUGCUGUGAGAGACGCUCAGCCCAUGCUCCUCCUGUAAGCCAGUCCAAAUUCCUUAAACUCAUCAGUUCACCAAGGUGGACUUACUGACAAGAGGCAUGUGCUAUCGUGCCUUUCUUAUUACAGUAGGUUUUGGGUCUAUGAAACAAACGAUUGUUACAACUGCUAGAAGCAAAACAAACAAACAAGUCACACAUGACCUUUUAUGAGAGGCCACAGCAGGAUUUACCUCUCUGUGCUCCAUCAAGGCAAUCAAAGUGGCAAGCUUUUAAAUAAAUUGACUUUGAACAGUCAAUUAUUUUUCUCCCUUAACAGUACAGUUGUUUGGCCAGAAUCUAAGUUAUUUUACCAAGUUUUAAAUAAAUGUUAUGCAACUACCAAGUGAAAAGGAUCUUUAACAUUAUCUGGUUAACCUCUCAUGAAAUCUUGAAUUUCUACCAAAAAUUCUCCAUGGAAACAGCUUUUAGUUAAGAUUGCAAUUUGAGAUUCUUUACAGCAGUUGUAGUUUCUAACCUAAGGAUGAGAUUGCAUUAGGAAGUCUAAAAUCUGGGUCUGAGACCUUUUUCAUCUGAGAGAUGAAUGGCUAGGAUUGUAGAGAUGUAGUAUCUAUGACAACAUAGCCAUUUUUCUUGUAGGGCCAACUGAUCCAAACAGCGAGUGAUCAAUGAAUGAUUUGGCCUUUAUUAUCAACCCCAACAAAGAGAGUCAUCUGGACCUAAUGCUAACAAUUAUGGUAGUAAAACAGUUAUAUGAGGAUGGCCUGUAUCUUGAAAAUUUUUUAAUUACAUAGAUUAAGAAACAUUUAAGUUAUCAAGAAAUUUCAAUGUAUUUAGCCACAUCUCCUGGCUUCUAUUCAACAGAAAGUGGUAGGAAAUUAACAUUUACUACUUGCCAGUAUUUGUACCAGGAUUUUCAUCUGAGUUAUCUUAUUUAACCAUAACAGUUUAGAAUCUUGUCUUGCAUAUUUGCUCAUGGUUACAUAGUUAGUAAGCAGCAAUCUAUAAUUCUAAAAUUUAACUGUAAAAAUGGAGGUACGAUAUUAUAGAUUUGUCAAACCCACAGAAGUGCACAUCAUGAAAAGUGAGCCCUAAUGUUUAGUUAAUAAUAACAUAUCAAUAUUUACUCACCAGUUGUAAUAAAUGAGCCACAAUUGUGUAUCAAUAUUCACUCACCAAUUGUAAUAAAUGUGCUAUACUAAUUCAAGAAGUUAAUAAUGAAGGAAACUAAGUGAGAGGUGAGAGAUGUGUGGAAGUUUAAUUGUUCAUUCUUGUAUACCUAAAAGUACUUGCUAUAAAGUGAUCUACUUUUCAAAAGUUAAGAUUUACAUGCCCCCAGAUUUAACUGUCCAAUUAUUUGUCUUGCAUUUAUUCUGGUCAGGGUUUCAAACCCCCACCUCUAUGGACAUUAUGCUUGUCAAGGUCAUUUGAGGACACUGCCAUAUUGGAUCCAACUCUUUACUUUCAUCUGACUUAACUUAUCAACAGUAUUAGAUACAUUUAGUAUAAUUUCUGAUGGCUUCUAGGCUAUCAUAGUUAUCAUGAUGUUAUAUUUUUUUCUUUGUAUGGUCCUUCCUAUGAGCUUUUGCUCUUUUCAACUUUUGCAUGUGUGUGUGUGUGUGUGUGUGUGUGUGUGUGUGUGUGUGUGUGUGUGUGUGUAUCUUACUAUAUAAGGACCCCAGAG